rnacentral:rRNA from 1 species
GACGAACGCUGGCGGCGUGCUUAACACAUGCAAGUCGAACGGUGAACCUCUUCGGAGGGGAUCAGUGGCGAACGGGUGAGUAACACGUGGGCAACCUGCCCCCGGCUCUGGGAUAACUCCAAGAAAUUGGGGCUAAUACCGGAUGUUCACCGCUUCCCGCAUGGGUGGUGGUGGAAAGGGUUUCCGGCUGGGGAUGGGCCCGCGGCCUAUCAGCUUGUUGGUGGGGUAGUGGCCUACCAAGGCGACGACGGGUAGCCGGCCUGAGAGGGUGACCGGCCACACUGGGACUGAGACACGGCCCAGACUCCUACGGGAGGCCGCAGUGGGGAAUAUUGCGCAAUGGGCGGAAGCCUGACGCAGCGACGCCGCGUGGGGGAUGACGGCCUUCGGGUUGUAAACCUCUUUCAGCAGGGACGAAGCGCAAGUGACGGUACCUGCAGAAGAAGCACCGGCCAACUACGUG